rnacentral:lncRNA from 1 species
UGAAUCAUUUGUAUCUAUUCUCUCUAGGGUCUCCAAACCUCAUUGUCCAUUUCUUCUUCAUAUUAAACACUUUUUCUAAGAUCAUUGUGGUCCUUUGAGUCAUAGAUUUCUAGAGUACUAUAUGGAUUGUAAGUUGAUUGCGUUCAAGGAUAUUGAUUGGGAAUCAAGGAUGUAAAGUGAAUUGAGUAGUUUCAUUCCACCUCCAACAGUAUUGGGGGUUCUUUCUAAAGUUCUUGUGUCCAAGGGGAUCCAAUUGCCGGACGGAGCAUCAAAGAGUUUCAAUGAAGAGCAUCAAGGGUUGCACAUGUGAUUGAGGAUUGAAGACAUCAAGAAGCAUCAAUUUCAAAGGUUAUUUGAAGAUUGGAGGAGUGAUUGCAUAGGAAUUGAAGAACUAGGGUCUUUUCAAGGAAUUCUUGUAACCACAUUGUAAUCAAACACAUUCAUAUUCGAAUGGAAGUCCUUGGUGGAAACAUUUUCCAUCAAGAAGAGUGGAGGUAGGUCGAAGCAAGGAAGAAAGGGGGAACUAUUAUAAAUCUCGAUGUCUUCACUCUUUUCUAUCCUCUUUAAUUUAGAUUAAUCAUGUAUUUGAUUGCUUGAUAAAUUGUUAGAGUAGAAAUUGAUUCUGAUCUAGGUUUAUUUUGUUAAAUUUGAGUUACUUCUUUGAAUUAGCUUUUACCUCACUUUUUAUAGAUCACAAUUGGUUUCAAUCUAUUGUUAGUUUAUCAAAUACAUACACAAUUGUGUUCAUUAGUAUAAUUGAUUAAUUGGUCUUAGAUUUGGUUUGAGAUUUUCCUUGUUUUGUAACUUGUGUGAAAAUUAUUUAUAAUAGUUUGUGUUAAGAUUUGACUUAGAAUCUCUCAAUUCCAAGUGAAUCUUUUUAUUUAUGCAUAGUGUUAAUAAUUUUGUCAUUGCCAUUAGAUCAAUCAUAAAUCCAAUACGUUGUCGAUUGUAUUCAAAAAUUGUUUUCCCUAUAAACUCGAUAAACUUUUAA